UGUCUUUUUUUGGGUUUUCAUGAUGACGAUGGAAUUGUUCUUUGACGUCAUACAUAGUAUGGAAGUAAAGAAGCUAAUAUGAUUUCAAUAUUUUCAGGAAAUAACAGUUUAAUAUUGUAAUAUCAAGGAUCCAUAUCGUCUACUCUUCUCAUACCUUUAUUGAGAGUUUUACCAUUUUAGGACACAAAUGAUUUAGGACUGGAUCCUUUUCUUCAAAUUUUAACAUUUGCUAAGUCAUUUAACCUUGAUAAAAACUGAGUGAAAUAAUAAAUUAAUAUUUUCACCAUUCAUAACUUAUACAAUUUUGGUUGGAAAUAUUGCAAUCUUGGAAUCUCCUUCACCAUGAAGGAGUCAACUAUUCUCUCUUGAGAUGGAUAACUUAUAGUAAUAUGGAACAGAGCAACUGCUUGAAUGGUCUCAAAGGGGUUUUUAGCCUUAAAUAGUGUGCAAGGUCUUUGUUUAAUAUCAGUUUCUUCCGCCAAAGACUUGGGUAUGCUCCAUGAAUUCGAACAUGUUGAUGUGGAAUUUAUCUUUACAUAUGACUUAUAAGGAUUAUAUACGGAAUUUAAACGUGUGAAUCUACCUCUCACAAAAUGGGCAUCACUAAAGAAACUUUCGCUGCAGUUAACCAAAGUACAGAUGCUACUACAAAACUUGCAACAUUUCUUCAAAUAGAUUGUGGCUUCGAAUACUUA
rnacentral:lncRNA from 1 species